rnacentral:rRNA from 1 species
GGUUAAGCGACUAAGCGUACACGGUGGAUGCCCUGGCAGUCAGAGGCGAUGAAGGGCGUGCUAAUCUGCGAUAAGCGCCGGUAAGGUGAUAUGAACCGUUAUAACCGGCGAUACCCGAAUGGGGAAACCCAGUGUGAUUCGUCACACUAUCAUUAACUGAAUCCAUAGGUUAAUGAGGCGAACCGGGGGAACUGAAACAUCUAAGUACCCCGAGGAAAAGA